rnacentral:rRNA from 1 species
CCUACGGGUGGCAGCAGUGAGGAAUAUUGGUCAAUGGCCGUAAGGCUGAACCAGCCAAGUCGCGUGAAGGAUGAAGGACCUAUGGUUUGUAAACUUCUUUUAUAGGGGAAUAAAGGUAUCCACGUGUGGAUAUUUGCAUGUACUCUAUGAAUAAGCAUCGGCUAACUCCGUGCCAGCAGCCGCGGUAAUACGGAGGAUGCGAGCGUUAUCCGGAUUUAUUGGGUUUAAAGGGAGCGUAGGUUGGUUGUUAAGUCAGUGGUGAAAGUUUGUGGCUCAACCAUAAAAUUGCCGUUGAUACUGGCAGUCUUGAGUAUAUUUGAGGUAGGCGGAAUGCGUGGUGUAGCGGUGAAAUGCAUAGAUAUCACGAAGAACUCCGAUUGCGAAGGCAGCUUACUAAGCCAUAACUGACACUGAAGCACGAAAGCGUGGGUAUCAAACAGGAUUAGAUACCCGGGUAGUC